UGGCCCUUGCCAUGACACCUCGCACAGUUAUAACCUUGGAUCUGAUCCAUGCCCAGCUCUCACACUUACAGACUGAGUUCUGAAACACAUGGUCCAUAACGUGACAUCUUAAAUAUCAGUGUAUAUUUUGAUUUUCCUUUAUUUUUUCAGUCUGACUGUGGGCUGGUGGACAACUUGAGACAGAAGUUCUUUAAGGUUGAUGGGUGCUACCACCAGGUGGACUCAGCCGUCCUUAUGUUGCACACUGCUAACGGAAUUGAUGCUAUCAGCAAGGAUUUAACUGCACUCAAACGCAAGGUUUUGGUCUCUGCAGUCUAUAUCACCACAUUUUCUGGGCUUCUCUGGUAUUACAACUACACCUUGCAGAAAGAUUUGGAAAUUCAAAAAAAGAAAUGCUCGGACAUGCAAAACGAGAUUGAGGAUCUCUUUGAUAGAGCAUCAGAGGUUGGGAUCACCUUCCCCAUACAUAUUCGUCUGCCAUGAGAUGUUCAUCACAAAGGCAAACCGAAUGAUGAGUCUGUUCACUAGGGCACUUAGCCUAACUAAUGCCAAAUCUAUUUUCUAUUUCAUGUAAUUCGUGACAUGGACAAUGAAGGCAUGUAACUGAGACUCGUGUAACUAGUAUUUAUGUAGGUGUUUGCUCUGGAUUAUUUGGUAUUUUAAAUGAUGGUGUUGGACAUUUAGAGACAAAAAUGAUACAUUUCAACAAUGAGUGUUAUAAUAAGGAAUGGAAUUGGUAACUGCACUAAUA